UACGUAGGGCGCAAGCGUUGUCCGGAAUUAUUGGGCGUAAAGAGCUCGUAGGCGGCUUGUCACGUCGGGUGUGAAAGCCCGGGGCUUAACCCCGGGUCUGCAUUCGAUACGGGCUAGCUAGAGUGUGGUAGGGGAGAUCGGAAUUCCUGGUGUAGCGGUGAAAUGCGCAGAUAUCAGGAGGAACACCGGUGGCGAAGGCGGAUCUCUGGGCCACUACUGACGCUGAGGAGCGAAAGCGUGGGGAGCGAACAGG
rnacentral:rRNA from 1 species